UCAUGUAAUGAUGAUUGGCUAAAAUGUUCAACUGCUCUGAGCUGUGAAUGAUAUGUGCCUUUCUGAACACAG